rnacentral:tRNA from 1 species
GGGGAUUUAGCUCAGUGGUAGAAAGAGCGCUUGCCUAGCAAGCACAAAGCCCUGGGUUCGGUCCCCAGCUCCG